rnacentral:rRNA from 1 species
UUUUAUGUGGUGACGAUACUUUAAAAGACAUUUUUAUGGAAAAAUAACUUUAUGCCGAAA